AUUGUCAGAUGCAGUUUUCACUGUGAGGGGCCUCAGGGAAAGGAAGCAUGUGGUGGGGGCGUGAAAAGACGUCGUUAACAAACAUACAACAUCUAAUUUACAGGCAGCAGACCUUUUGACAGGUGUAUCAUCUUAGUCUCUGAUUGUCUCUGCAUUGUGAUUGGUUCCUGUUUGUUAUAUCUACUCUGUUUGUUCACGUCCCUGGUGUUGGUCAUUUGUUGAAUGUUGGUGUCUAUGUUCCUGUUUCCUGUGUGCUCAGUGUUCUGCCCUGUUUUGCCUGCCCGUCUGUUUGCCUGUUUCUUGUUUUGGAUCAAUAAAGGACUGAACUGCAUUUGGAUCCUCACUUGCCUUUGUCUCAUCGCGACAGAAUGGAACGAUGUCCCAGGACACACACACACACCAUAGAGCAGAUAUUUAUGUAUACCUUACCAUCAUACCCAUAUGUUGGCCUUCCCAAAAUUGUUGCUGCACAGUUGAGAGCACAGAAUUAUCAAGAAUGUCUUUGGAUGCUGGAGCAUAAAUACUUCCCCACAAUGAAACUAAGGAGACUAGCCCAAAAACCAGCAUGGCAAUGCCCCAUGCACAAACAAGAUUCAGGAAGAUCACGCAGAAAUUGAGUGGCUUUCACAAAGUCCUGAUCUCAACGCAAUUAAACACCUUCAAAUGGAAUACUGACUGCAAACCAGGCCUUCUAGCCUGACAUCAGUGCCCAAUCUUAAUAAUAAUCUUGUUGCUAAUUGGGCAAAUCCCCACAGCCACGCUAAAAUCUAGUGGGAAGUCGUUCUAGAGGUGGUGUGGAAUUAUUAUUAUAAUAAUAAUAAUAAUAAUAAAGGAGGACUACAUGGGAUAUUCAAUUGCAUGUGUGAUGGGCAAGUGUUUUAGUUGAGAAUUGAAUCCUGUUCCCCAAGAAAUUGCAGAAAGAAUGCAGGUAUGUUUCGAGGACAAAACUAUCCCAGAUUAAACGAUGUAAGGAAUGCUAUAAGAGUAUAUCUGUGUGGACCAGGAGAGUUGUUUGGUUACCGGACAAUGUGUUCAGGACUUCAGCAGAAACACAAGUUGCAUGUUAAACGUGAUGACAUUAUGUGGUUGCUGCAAGAACUUAAUCCAUAAGGGACAGCACAGAGGACAUGUAGAUUUGUUCUACAUUAUAACUCCAUGGGACCAAACAAUCUGUGUGGAUGGUUAUGAUACAAUAAAGCCAUUUGUUUUUGCUAUAUCUGGAUGCAUUGGCGGUUUUUCGAGAUGUGUUCUGCUGCUUAUUUGUAGACCAACUAACAAUAAUCCUGCUGUUAUUGCAGACCUACAUGAAGAAAAUAAAGAAGGUUCAAAUUAUGCAAUGCAUUUAACACUUGACUUGUCAGGCAGAACAAUGCAUGCUGAAUUACUAUAUUCUGUCUGUGAGCCAAGUGAGAUCUGUCUGUUUCCAAGAUCUCUAAGCUGGGAGUAAUUUUACUGCUGUGUAUUUAAUCUGUUAAUUUAAUAAACAAUUACUUCAAAUA